rnacentral:rRNA from 1 species
GCAUGCGUCGCAUAGCACGUAAUAAAUGUACGUUUAGGGGUGAUAGGCUUUUCAAACGUUCCUAUAACUUGUUUCAUAUGAAAAGUAUUAANUACCUAAACAAAUUUAAAAAGUUAAGCUUUUAAAUAACUAUUAAAGAUAUUAUCCCCUUGUAGUGUAGUUUAAUAGCUAUCUACAUAUUAACUUAAUAUAAAGUAUAAUAGUUUAUAUUUUAUAAUAUGACGUUAACAAUUUUGUUUAAUAUUUGAAAAUGUUAGUAUUAGUAAUAUUAGUAUAUGUGCUAAAGGAACUCGGCAAAAAACCACUCAACUGUUUAUCAAAAACAUAGCUAUAUGAAUUAAUAUAUAGUUAUUUCUGCUCAAUGAUUUAAAUAGCCGCAGUACUCUGACUGUGCAAAGGUAGCAUAAUCAGUUGGCUUUUAAUUAGAGUCUGGUAUGAACGAAAAUAUGGGUAGUAACUGUCUUAGCACAUUUUUUCGAACUUAUUAAACAUGUGCAAAUGCUUGUAAUUUAACAAUAGACGAGAAGACCCUAGAAACUUGGACAAGUUUUUGUUGGGGCGACAGAAUUACACUUAACUAAUCUUAUAAUACACGACGCGAUGUUGAAAGAAUAAGUUACUCUAGGGAUAACAGCAUAAUUUCAUUAGUUUGUGACCUCGAUGUUGGACUAGGUACUAUACCCUUAAGGCAAGGAUAUAUUAUGCUCUGUUCGAGCAAAAUUACCUACAUGAUCUGAGUUCAGACCGG